rnacentral:rRNA from 1 species
CUGACGGGUGGCGGACGGGUGAGUAAUGCUUGGGAAUCUGGCUUAUGGAGGGGGAUAACUACGGGAAACUGUAGCUAAUACCGCGUAAAAUCUUCGGAUUAAAGGGUGGGACUUUCGGGCCACCUGCCAUAAGAUGAGCCCAAGUGGGAUUAGGUAGUUGGUUAGGUAAAGGCUGACCAAGCCGACGAUCUCUAGCUGGUCUGAGAGGAUGACCAGCCACACUGGAACUGAGACACGGUCCAG